GGGCUGAGGAAGGGAAUAAGUGAAAUGCCUUUAUUACAUUUCUACUGGGCGCUAUGUAGGGUCUCCUAAUUAAGGCAACUCUCUGGAUAAAUAACAUUUCUCCUCAGCAGUAGUCUUCUAAGAUAUUUGCUCAUCGACGUGAAAGAUUUUUAUAAAACAAUCCUAACACAUUUCGCUGACAAAAUUUUUCAUCAUGAUGAGUUGAAAAAGAUUUCAUCUGGAUCUCGUUAUUGGGCCAUGAGAAAUAGCAGCCCGACCCUCACUCUGGUCUGGGAACAAAAUUUGGCAAGCCAGCCAGGAGAGACUGGGAUGGUGCUGUGUUCAGCGGCUAGCAGCUUGCAAUGAGACAGUCUUCAGGAGGAUCCCAGCAGCUGCUGAUGAGAUUUCCCAAGGACCCUCUUGAAGGCUGUUUCAUGCAGAAAAUUGCACAUCUCUUUCACUACUGGGGAAGAAUGGAGAUCAGGAGUGGAUGCACUCAAAGGGUCACAAUUGAAAAAACUGAUCAUUUUACCAAGGCUUUGACUGGAAUGGUGUGCUUUCCUUUAAGAAAUCAAACUUGACUUAUGGAGCCAACGGAACCCCAAGUUGUCUUGGAACCUCAAGAGGAGAGAAAUUCACCCAACACAUAGGUGCUGCCUCUAAGCCCUGAAGCAGAGAGUGCUACCAAGAACAAAUCGACCUCUUCCACUCCAGUGCUGUGUUUGGUGCCCCAUAACGACGACCCUCUCUCAGCAGGAAGUAGCCAGAAAGGUUAUGAUGUCCCAUCUCCCUACAAUCCUCGUGAUAAAUAAAUAUACAAGCAUGAUAGAUAUCAUGUGCAAAUUGACAGUGGAGAUUGUGGCAGGCGGAUCUCACUAAAGCAGGCUUCUGUAACAACUGUUUCAGUAUUGACUGAGUGGUUAAGUUAAAUAUUAAAAGCCAGUGGCCCUUAUACAAAG
rnacentral:lncRNA from 1 species